rnacentral:misc_RNA from 1 species
AACGAGGCCGACCUGCGGCUGAGUUACCUGCGGAAGGAUCAUUACAAGUGACCCCGGUCUAACCACCGGGAUGUUCAUAACCCUUCGUUGUCCGACUCUGUUGCCUCCGGGGCGACCCUGCCUUCGGGCGGGGGCUCCGGGUGGACACUUCAAACUCUUGCGUAACUUUGCAGUCUGAGUAAACUUAAUUAAUAAAUUAAAACUUUCAACAAUGGAUCU